CUCCGAUUUGGUGCUGCGAAGUCAAUAUUUAACAUUUUUUCUCUUGGUGCAACUUUUAAAGCACACUAAAAAUAAAUUAGUUACAAUAGAGUUAGCAAUAAUUUGGCAUUUGGCUGACAUCGACAGAAUUUGUUUGUUUUGGCAAUUAGCUAUAAAUAUUGAUUGGUACGACACAUUUCGCGGCAGGUAGUGGGCUGUUUGGCCAAAUCAAAAAUUCUAAGUGAAAUUUAAGAAAUUCCAAAGCCCCAGACCUGCCGCACAGUUGAUUCAUCGAGCAAUAGCAACAUUAGGAAAUUCAAGAAAUGGACCGCAAAAACAUGCUCAAACUCCUAGUCGGAACCGUGGUAACGCUGCAUCUGGGCUUUUACUUCGUGAAGCCGCUCAUUCUGCCUCCCACGGACCAAAGUCGAACCUCUUCCCUUCCCGAGCGACCUUCCUAUCGCUAAAAUCGCUAUAAUCAGAGGACAAUGGACAGCUGUGAUAUCUUACAAGCAAAAACUGAGUGAUAGCUCUGAUUAUGUUGAAGAUUGAAAUGUAAUAUAAUUGUUUGAAAAA